GGGUGGUUUGGAAGGACAGAGGCUCAGCUCAUGGGGAACUCUGGGAAGACAGGAGGAAGACAAGGGCCGGGGUCAGGGGAGCUUGGCAGGGCUCCAGCGGCUCCAGGGGGCCCCAGCUCCUUGCACUUCUCCCCCAGCCAGUGGAGAGUUCGGAGUUCCGUUUCUGAAGCUUAGAGCUUUGUAAGGGAGCUGUGUCCCAGUCCGCAGUUCAUUGUUGGUGGAGCCACACGCACAGAUGUCUGCCAGGGCGACC
rnacentral:lncRNA from 1 species